CAUGCCUAACUAUAAGAAUUAUUUGAAAUUUGUUUACUGAAUAUUUAUGAAACACUUGCCACUGGAUAUCACAGUAAUCAUGUCAAAUGAAUGAUACAUUUUGUAUAUUAUGAUGUGUUUCUAUGAAUUGCAGAAACUUUAUACACCAUUUUAAUCAUCAACUGCCAACUUUUGAUAUGUUAUUUGUCCUUGAAUUAAGAAAAGGUUGGGCGAACAACUUCAUUAUUUUAGAUAUACUCUGCAUACAUGUACAGUUCCUUUUGUAAAUCCAAACUUAUAUUAAAUUUUCUUUUAUUAAUUAAUGUGGGAAAUGUGAUUUAUCAAGUUAAAGCAGUUGAUAAGAAAUUUGAAAGUAUUUUAAAUUUAAUCAGUAUCUUAUGUUCCUGUAAGCCAUUGAAUAAAAUUUGGUUCAAGAUGUGUAUUGAUAUCAGAUCUCGAGUUGGCAGGUCUGAAAAUUGUUACUGUUUGUAUUUCAUGUAUUUAACUUCCUUAGAUCUAAAAUUUGUUUGGAUUAAAGAACUAUUUAGUUACCUCACUUUUAAUUAGUCUUAUCUGAACUUUUUGAAAUCAAUGUUUAUUGUUGAAUUGUCUUUCAGAAAUUGUCUACCACUACUUGACGUGAGAGGGCCAAGGUUCCUCACUAGAACAUUAGGACCGGUUCUCUUAUGUCUGAGGGAUUGUCCUAUUAAAAAGGUCUGACAUUCCAGCUAGAUUUAUACCUGAUAAUGGGAGAAAUCACCAGAAACUAUUUCCUGAGGAACAUGUAUAAACUAGUGAAUUGAUGGUUUAACUACCAAGAUGUAAUGAGAGAUGUCAAGUAAUGAACAAAAAGAAGUAACAUGAAGUUAGACAAUACAACUUGAGGUGUCAGAAUUUGUGCAAUUGUUAUUUGCAGAUAUAUAGCUGGAUUUUGUCAAAAUGUGAAGUGUAACACUGGGAUCAAAUAUGUUAUUUUUUCUAAAAAAUGAUGAAUUUGAGAAUUAAAUUUUCAUAUCUA